rnacentral:rRNA from 1 species
GUCUUUUUGAGUUAUUUUUAAAGUCUGACCUGCCCACUGAAGUUAUUUAAAUGGCCGCAGUAUUCUAACUGUGCAAAGGUAGCAUAAUCAUUAGUCUUUUAAUUGAAGGCUGGUAUGAACGGUUGGACGAGGUAUAAGCUGUUUCAUAUAAAUUUAUAAUAGAAUUUUAUAUUUUAGUCAAAAAGCUAAAAUUUAAUUAAAAGACGAGAAGACCCUAUAAAUCUUUAUACUUUACAUUGUUUAAAUUUUUUAGAUUAAUUUUAUUUUUAUAAUUUAAAGUAUUUUGUUGGGGUGAUAUUAAAAUUUAAUGAACUUUUAAUUAUUUAAAAUCAUUAAUUUAUGAGUUAUUGAUCCAUUAGUAGUGAUUAUAAGAUUAAGUUACUUUAGGGAUAACAGCGUAAUUUUUUUGGAGAGUUCAUAUCGAUAAAAAAGUUUGCGACCUCGAUGUUGGAUUAAGAUAUAUUUUUAGGUGUAGCCGCUUAAAUGU